ACCUGACUGCUAUCGGAUUGAUACUAAGCCAUGCGAGUCAUUGUAGCAAUACAAGGCGGACGGCUCAGUAACACGUAGUCAAUCUAACCUAUGGACGGGGAUAACCUCGGGAAACUGAGAAUAAUAUCCGAUAGGCCACUAUGCCUGGAAUGGUUUGUGGCCCAAAUGAUUUAUCGCCGUAGGAUGGGACUGCGGUCUAUCAGCUUGUUGGUGAGGUAAUGGCCCACCAAGGCUAUAACAGAUACGGGCUCUGAGAGGAGAGGCCCGGAGAUGGGUACUGAGACACGGACCCAGGCCCUAUGGGGCGCAGCAGGCGAGAAAACUUUGCAAUGUGCGAAAGCACGACAAGGUUAAUCCGAGUGUUUUCUGCUAAAGAAAUCUUUUACCGGUCUUAAAACCACCGGCGAAUAAGGGGUGGGCAAGUUCUGGUGUCAGCCGCCGCGGUAAAACCAGCACCUCAAGUGGUCAGGAGGAUUAUUGGGCCUAAAGCAUCCGUAGCCUGCCGUGUAAGUUUUCGGUUAAAUCUAUGCGCUCAACGCAUAGGCUGCCGGAAAUACUGCACGGCUAGGGAGUGGGAGAGGUAGACGGUACUCGGUAGGAAGGGGUAAAAUCCUCUGAUCUAUCGAUGACCCCCUGUGGCGAAGGCGGUCUACUAGAACACGUCCGACGGUGAGGGAUGAAAGCUGGGGGAGCAAACCGGAUUAGAUACCCGGGUAGUCCCAGCUGUAAACAAUGCAAACUCAGUGAUGCAUUGGCGUAAGAGCCAGUGCAGUGCCGCAGGGAAGCCGUUAAGUUUGCCGCCUGGGAAGUACGUACGCAAGUAUGAAACUUAAAGGAAUUGGCGGGGGAGCACCACAAGGGGUGAAGCCUGCGGUUC
rnacentral:rRNA from 2 species